rnacentral:rRNA from 1 species
UACGAAGGGGGCUAGCGUUGCUCGGAAUCACUGGGCGUAAAGGGUGCGCAGGCGGGUCUUUAAGUCAGAGGUGAAAUCUUGGAGCUCAACUCCAGAACUGCCUUUGAUACUGAGGAUCUUGAGUUCGGGAGAGGUGAGUGGAACUGCGAGUGUAGAGGUGAAAUUCGUAGAUAUUCGCAAGAACACCAGUGGCGAAGGCGGCUCACUGGCCCGAUACUGACGCUGAGGCACGAAAGCGUGGGGAGCAAACAGG